GUCGUGGGGGAUAACGUAGCGAAAGUUACGCUAAUACCGCAUACGAUCUGAGGAUGAAAGCGGGAGACCUUCGGGCCUUGCGCGAUCGGAGCGGCCGAUGUCAGAUUAGGUAGUUGGUGGGGUAAAGGCCUACCAAGCCGACGAUCUGUAGCUGGUCUGAGAGGACGACCAGCCACACUGGGACUGAGACACGGCCCAGACUCCUACGGGAGGCAGCAGUGGGGAAUUUUGGACAAUGGGCGCAAGCCUGAUCCAGCCAUUCCGCGUGCAGGACGAAGGCCUUCGGGUUGUAAACUGCUUUUGUACGGAACGAAAAGGCUCUGGCUAAUACCUGGGGCUCAUGACGGUACCGUAAGAAUAAGCACCGGCUAACUACGUGCCAGCAGCCGCGGUAAUACGUAGGGUGCAAGCGUUAAUCGGAAUUACUGGGCGUAAAGCGUGCGCAGGCGGUUAUGUAAGACAGAGGUGAAAUCCCCGGGCUCAACCUGGGAACUGCCUUUGUGACUGCAUAGCUGGAGUACGGCAGAGGGGGAUGGAAUUCCGCGUGUAGCAGUGAAAUGCGUAGAUAUGCGGAGGAACACCGAUGGCGAAGGCAAUCCCCUGGGCCUGUACUGACGCUCAUGCAC
rnacentral:rRNA from 1 species